CGAAAUUACUGGAAUUUUAUUUGCCUCAGGCUUAUGACUUGCAACCAAAGACAUUGUGCAAAGAAAGCAAAGAUUAAGUACACUUUAGGGAGAAGGAGACGAUACACAUUGGUAACAUAGGAGAUCAGGGUGACAAAAGAAGCCAUCCAAUACACUAUAUAGAUUGCAAUAUUCAAUAGCGCUUUCAACAAAACUUUUUUUUAAAUCAAGAGCAAAAAAAUUAAGCAAUGUUUACAGUAGACAUAAAUCUUAUACAAUUCAAAAAGCUUUUGUUCAGAUCAUAGAGCAUAAAAUGGAAAAAUGUAUAUGCAGGUGAAAUCUAACUACUGUACAUUUAUCACCUAUUAAAGUUGCUUAUAUGUACCACAGUGUAAAAAAACAAUACCGAACAAAUAAAAACCUCGAAAAUUGCCUGAUGAAAAAUAAAAUAACCAGUGGCUUUUAAUGGCUUCUCCUGGUUAUCAGUGCUACAAAAGACAAAAAUCUUCUCAUCUGAACAGGUGAUAAAACCAGGCACAAUCAAACCGUUACCAAAUUAGACCCACCCAUAGAAAUAUACUAUCCACCCACAUAUUUUCCAUCAAAAGCUUUUUGUUUGUUUCAAUC
rnacentral:lncRNA from 1 species